AUCAGAUGAGCCUAGGUCGGAUUAGCUAGUUGGUGAGGUAAUGGCUCACCAAGGCUACGAUCCGUAACUGGUCUGAGAGGAUGAUCAGUCACACUGGAACUGAGACACGGUCCAGACUCCUACGGGAGGCAGCAGUGGGGAAUAUUGGACAAUGGGCGAAAGCCUGAUCCAGACAGGCCGCGUGUGUGAAGAAGGUCUUCGGAUUGUAAAUUAAUAGAGUUGGGAGGAAGGGCAUUAACCUAAUACGUUAGUGUU
rnacentral:rRNA from 1 species